UUCCAUUAAGUUGCUUUGGAUUCAUGGAAAUUCUGAACAGAGAUGUGAGAAUGACUACAAUUUGAGGUAUCUGUUAAAUACAGCAACAUGACAUCACAAGGAUUGUUUUUGAGUCUUCUGAAUGAGAGAUAAUAAAAUGGUGAAAUCUUAGGACUGGAAUAUCAAGGAAAAAAUAGAGACAACCAUGGUUUCCAGACUCUUUUAUUGGAGAAUAAUUCAUUUGUUGGUUUGUUUGACAGAAAUGGGAUUAUUUGAAGAGAUCAGCACAAGGAAUAAUGGUUUAUAACUUUUCUGAGAUCAGGACUGUAUGUGAAAACAGAGCCAUCCUGAAAACUAUGAAGAAAUAUUUCUUUCAUUCAAAGGAAAACAAAGUAGAAGGAUUCAGGAAAGGAUAGAAAACUCAGUGGUGUUGAGGAGUAUGUAAAUACCUUAGGCCUUUAAGGAAAUUCUACUGAAAUCAACAUAAUAAGGUAAAACUUUUCUUUUUAAAAUCUGUCUGUUUUUCAAAAUAUAAGAAUCAGAACAUCUUUUAAUUUUAAUUUUUUUUCAAGUUUUUAUUUAAAUUCAUGUUAGUUAACAUAGAGUGUAACAUUAGUUUCAGGCGUAGAAUCUAGUGAUUUAUCACUUACAUACAACACCCGUUGGUCAUCACA
rnacentral:lncRNA from 1 species